ACGGCCCAUCUCUACAAGCAUGAAGAGACAUUCAAGGCCUCUGAAGGAGCUCAACAGGAAAACAAAACAGAUAAGAAAACCGAGACUUGAGGAGUGCAGUCACUUAUACAAGGCCUUGAAGACGUCUCAGUCUGAACUGAAUAGGCAUCCAGACUGCUGCCCCUUCCUUCUUUCGCUUGAGAUGCAGUUGAAUGUCUCUCACAUUGCCUGUAAGUAGCUUAUUAAAAUGCAAUUCUGAUAAUGCCA